GAUGAACGCUGGCGGCGUGCCUAAUACAUGCAAGUAGAACGCUGAAGCUUGGUGCUUGCACCGAGCGGAUGAGUUGCGAACGGGUGAGUAACGCGUAGGUAACCUGCCUCCUAGCGGGGGAUAACUAUUGGAAACGAUAGCUAAUACCGCAUAAAAGUCGAUAUCGCAUGAUAUUGAUUUGAAAGGUGCAAAUGCAUCACUAAGAGAUGGACCUGCGUUGUAUUAGCUAGUUGGUGAGGUAACGGCUCACCAAGGCGACGAUACAUAGCCGACCUGAGAGGGUGAUCGGCCACACUGGGACUGAGACACGGCCCAGACUCCUACGGGAGGCAGCAGUAGGGAAUCUUCGGCAAUGGGGGCAACCCUGACCGAGCAACGCCGCGUGAGUGAAGAAGGUUUUCGGAUCGUAAAGCUCUGUUGUAAGAGAAGAACGAGUGUGAGAGUGGAAAGUUCACACUGUGACGGUAACUUACCAGAAAGGGACGGCUAACUACGUG
rnacentral:rRNA from 1 species